rnacentral:rRNA from 1 species
UAACACAUGCAAGUCGAACGGUAACAGGAGAGAGCUUGCUCUCUUGCUGACGAGUCGCGGACGGGUGAGUAACGCGUAAGAAUCUGCCUAGUAGUGGGGGACAACUACCGGAAACGGUAGCUAAUACCGCAUACGCCCUACGGGGGAAAGUGGGGGACCUUCGGGCCUCACGCUAUUAGAUGAGCUUGCGUUAGAUUAGCUAGUUGGUGAGGUAAUGGCUCACCAAGGCCACGAUCUAUAGCUGGUUUGAGAGAACGAUCAGCCACACUGGGACUGAGAUAUGGCCCAGACUCCUAUGGGAGGCAGCAGUGGGGAAUAUUGGACAAUGGGGGCAACCCUGAUCCAGCAAUACCGCGUGUGUGAAGAAGGCCUGAGGGUUGUAAAAGCACUUUCAAUUGGGAGGAAAAGCUGAGCGUUAAUAGCGUUUAGUCUUGACGUUACCAUUAGAAGAAGCACCGGCUAACUCCGUGCCAGCAGCCGCGGUAAUACGGGGGGUGCAAGCGUUAAUCGGAAUUACUGGGCGUAAAGCGCGCGUAGGGGGUUUGUUAAGUCGGAUGUGAAAGCCCUGGGCUCAACCUGGGAAUGGCAUUCGAAACUGGCUGACUAGAGUAUGGUAGAGGGAAGUGGAAUUCCGGGUGUAGCGGUGAAAUGCGUAGAUAUCCGGAGGAACAUCAGUGGCGAAGGCGACUUCCUGGACCAAUACUGACACUGAGGUGCGAAAGCGUGGGUAGCAAACAGGAUUAGAUACCCUGGUAGUCCACGCCGUAAACGAUGUCAACUAGAUGUUGGGAAGGUUAAACUUAAUAGGUGUCGUAGCAAACGUGAUAAGUUCUCCGCCUGGGGAGUACGGCCGCAAGGCUAAAACUCAAAUGAAUUGACGGGGGCCCGCACAAGCGGUGGAGCAUGUGGUUUAAUUCGAUGCAACGCGAAGAACCUUACCAGCCCUUGACAUCCUGGAAACUUACUAGAGAUAGUUUGGUGCCUGCGGGAAUCCAGUGACAGGUGCUGCAUAGCUGUCGGCAGCUCGUGUCGUGAGAUGUUGGGUUAAGUCCCGUAACGAGCGCAACCCUUGCCCUUAGUUGCCGCACGUAAUGGUGGGAACUCUAGGGGGACUGCCGGUGAUAAACCGGAGGAAGGUGAGGAUGACGUCAAGUCAUCAUGGCCCUUAUGGGCUGGGCUACACACGUGCUACAAUGGCCGGUACAGAGGGCCGCAAACCCGCGAGGGGGAGCAAAUCUCACAAAACCGGUCGUAGUCCGGAUCGGAGUCUGCAACUCGACUCCGUGAAGUUGGAAUCGCUAGUAAUCGCGAAUCAGAAUGUCGCGGUGAAUACGUUCCCG